GGGACACGUGAUAUCCUGUCUGAAUAUGGGGGGACCAUCCUCCAAGGCUAAAUACUACUGACUGACCGAUAGUGAACCAGUACCGUGAGGGAAAGGCGAAAAGAACCCCUGUGAGGGGAGUGAAAUAGAACCUGAAACCGUGUACGUACAAGCAGUAGGAGCACCUUCGUGGUGUGACUGCGUACCUUUUGUAUAAUGGGUCAGCGACUUAUAUUCAGUGGCAAGGUUAACCAUCUAGGGGAGCCGUAGGGAAACCGAGUCUUAACUGGGCGUUCAGUCUCUGGAUAUAGACCCGAAACCAGGUGAUCUAGCCAUGGGCAGGUUGAAGGUUGAGUAACAUCAACUGGAGGACCGAACCGACUAAUGUUGAAAAAUUAGCGGAUGACUUGUGGCUAGGGGUGAAAGGCCAAUCAAACCUGGAGAUAGCUGGUUCUCCCCGAAAGCUAUUUAGGUAGCGCCUCGGACGAAUACUACUGGGGGUAGAGCACUGUUAAGGCUAGGGGGUCAUCCCGACUUACCAACCCUUUGCAAACUCCGAAUACCAGUAAGUACUAUCCGGGAGACACACGGCGGGUGCUAACGUCCGUCGUGGAGAGGGAAACAACCCAGACCGCCAGCUAAGGUCCCAAAUUACUACUAAGUGGGAAACGAUGUGGGAAGGCUCAGACAGCCAGGAUGUUGGCUUAGAAGCAGCCAUCAUUUAAAGAAAGCGUAAUAGCUCACUGGUCGAGUCGGCCUGCGCGGAAGAUGUAACGGGGCUAAGUAGUAAACCGAAGCUGCGGCAAUGCACUUUAGUGCAUUGGGUAGGGGAGCGUUCUGUAAGCGGUUGAAGGUGUGUGGUAACGCAUGCUGGACGUAUCAGAAGUGCGAAUGCUGACAUGAGUAACGAUAAAGGGGGUGAAAAACCUCCUCGCCGGAAGACCAAGGGUUCCUGUCCAACGUUAAUCGGGGCAGGGUAAGUCGACCCCUAAGGCGAGGCCGAAAGGCGUAGUCGAUGGGAAACGGG
rnacentral:rRNA from 1 species